rnacentral:rRNA from 1 species
GAUUCCCCUAGUAACUGCGAGUGAAGCGGGAAAAGCUCAAAUUUGAAAUCUGGUAGUCUUUUUGGCUGCCCGAGUUGUAAUCUAGAGAAGCACUAUCCGCGCCGGACCGUGUACAAGUGUCCCUGGAAUGGACCAUCAUAGAGGGUGAGAAUCCCGUCUUUGACACGGACUCCCGGGGCUUUUGUGAUGUGCUCUCAAAGAGUCGAGUUGUUUGGGAAUGCAGCUCUAAAUGGGUGGUAAAUUCCAUCUAAAGCUAAAUAUUGGCGAGAGACCGAUAGCGAACAAGUACCGUGAGGGAAAGAUGAAAAGAACUUUGGAAAGAGAGUUAAACAGUACGUGAAAUUGCUGAAAGGGAAACGCUUGAAGUCAGUCGCGUUGGCUGGGGUUCAACCUUGCAUUUAGUUUUGCCUGGCUUACUCCCCCAAGUUGACGGGUCAGCAUCAGUUUUGACGAGUGGAUAAAGGCUGAGGGAAUGUGGCACCUCUUUGGGUGUGUUUAUAGCCCUUGG